ensembl:snRNA U2 U2 spliceosomal RNA
AUUACUUCUGGGCCUUUGGGCUAAGAUCAAGUGUAGUAACUCUUUUAUCAGUUUAAUAUCUGAUAUGUCCUCUAUCUUAGGACAAUAUAUUAAACUGACUUUUGGAGCAGGAAGAUGGAAUAGAAGCUUGCUCUGUCGUCUGCUCCAUGCAUCUACCUGGUAUUGAAGUACCUCCAGGAAUGGUGCAACCCAU